UGCCCUAGUAACGGCGAGUGAAGCGGCAACAGCUCAAAUUUGAAAUCUGGCUCUCGGGCCCGAGUUGUAAUUUGUAGAGGAUACUUUUGAUGCGGUGCCUUCCGAGUUCCCUGGAACGGGACGCCAUAGAGGGUGAGAGCCCCGUCUGGUUGGAUGCCAAAUCUCUGUAAAGUUCCUUCAACGAGUCGAGUAGUUUGGGAAUGCUGCUCUAAAUGGGAGGUAUAUGUCUUCUAAAGCUAAAUACCGGCCAGAGACCGAUAGCGCACAAGUAGAGUGAUCGAAAGAUGAAAAGCACUUUGAAAAGAGAGUUAAAAAGUACGUGAAAUUGUUGAAAGGGAAGCGUUUAUGACCAGACUUGGGCUUGGUUAAUCAUCUGGGGUUCUCCCCAGUGCACUUUUCCAGUCCAGGCCAGCAUCAGUUUUCCCCGGGGGAUAAAGGCGGCGGGAAUGUGGCUCUCUUCGGGGAGUGUUAUAGCCCACCGUGUAAUACCCUGGGGGGGACUGAGGUUCGCGCAUCUGCAAGGAUGCUGGCGUAAUGGUCAUCAACGACCCGUCUUGAAACACGGACCAAGGAGUCGUCUUCGUAUGCGAGUGUUCGGGUGUCAAACCCCUACGCGUAAUGAAAGUGAACGCAGGUGAGAGCUUCGGCGCAUCAUCGACCGAUCCUGAUGUUCUCGGAUGGAUUUGAGUAAGAGCAUACGGGGCCGGACCCGAAAGAAGGUGAACUAUGCCUGUAUAGGGUGAAGCCAGAGGAAACUCUGGUGGAGGCUCGCAGCGGUUCUGACGUGCAAAUCGAUCGUCAAAUAUGGGCAUGGGGGCGAAAGACUAAUCGAACCUUCUAGUAGCUGGUUUCCGCCGAAGUUUCCCUCAGGAUAGCAGUGUUGAACUCAGUUUUAUGAGGUAAAGCGAAUGAUUAGGGACUCGGGGGCGCUAUUUAGCCUUCAUCCAUUCUCAAACUUUAAAUAUGUAAGAAGCUCUUGUUGCUUAAUUGAACGUGAGCAUUCGAAUGUAUCAACACUAGUGGGCCAUUUUUGGUAAGCAGAACUGGCGAUGCGGGAUGAACCGAACGCGAGGUUAAGGUGCCAGAGUAGACGCUCAUCAGACACCACAAAAGGUGUUAGUACAUCUUGACAGCAGGACGGUGGCCAUGGAAGUCGGAAUCCGCUAAGGACUGUGUAACAACUCACCUGCCGAAUGUACUAGCCCUGAAAAUGGAUGGCGCUCAAGCGUCUCACCCAUACCUCGCCCUCAGGGUAGAAACGAUGCCCUGAGGAGUAGGCGGACGUGGAGGUCAGUGACGAAGCCUAGGGC
rnacentral:rRNA from 1 species